CCAAUAGCGUAUAUUAAAGUUGUUGCAGUUAAAAAGCUCGUAGUUGAAUUUCGGGAUCAAUUAGUCGGUCGUGCCUCUGGUACGUACUGGUUUUAUUGGUUCCUCCCUUCUGACGAAACAUGAUGUCAUUAAUUUGGUGUCGUGGAGAAUCAGGACUGUUACCUUGAAAAAAUUAGAGUGUUUAUAGCAGGCUAACGCUUGAAUACAUUAGCAUGGAAUAAUGAAAUAGGACGUUCGACCCUAUUUUGUUGGUUUCUAGGAUCGACGUAAUGAUUAAUAGGGAUAGUUGGGGGCAUUAGUAUUCAAUUGUCAGAGGUGAAAUUCUUGGAUUUAUUGAAGACUAACUACUGCGAAAGCAUUUGCCAAGGAUGUUUUCAUUAAUCAAGAACGAAAGUUAGGGGAUCGAAGACGAUCAGAUACCGUCGUAGUCUUAACCAUAAACUAUGCCGACUAGGGAUCGGAUGAUGUUAAUUUUUUAAUGACUCAUUCGGCGCCUUACG
rnacentral:rRNA from 2 species